UUACUCAGGCUUCUCUUCAAUUGUCGUACAAAUCUUUCGCCUUUUACUAAAGAUUUCCGUGGAGAGGAGCACAUUAAUGAUUUUAACCCAUUUAUUUUUUCACAAGCUCUCUUGUAA